UGUCAAGUUUACAGGGUGUGGACUUGCUGGACUUGGGAUGGUUAAUCUACAUUGUCAACUUCAAUGGCUGGAGAAGUACAUGGAGAUUAACAGAGCACACCUCAGUGUGUUUGUGCUGGUAUCUCAGACUCAAGAGAAAGGAUGUUAGAUUUCUAAGACGGCAUAAAAGAGACAUAAGGCAUAAAGAUACCAGAGUCUGAUUUUCAACAAACGGGAUUGUGUCUAUUAGCACACACAGCCAAGGGCAGCCUUUCUUCCAUGGGAAACUGAAGGGUCUGCCCAGGGAAAAGCUGACUGCGACCCUUUGUAGGGGCAGGGUGAGGGGCUUGGAAUGAAGCUGUUGCAGCUAUAGGGUCUGUUACAUGUGUUUCUUGCAGACUCUCCUUCCUGAAAUUGUUUGCCCUGUCUCUACAGACAUCCCUUCUGAACCGACUAAUAAGGCUGACCUCUCCUGCCUGACGUCGUUUGCCCAAGGUGAGACAGGCUGUCCCAUCUGACACUCCUCUCUAAAAUGGCCAAGAAUUAUCUGGAACCUUGUAGGAAUUCCUGUUCUACAGGAGAGCCACUCAUCACUUUUAAACAAAAUGGAGAGAAUCCAGCAGCAGCAGACCCAUCCUGCCACCGUAUUAAAGAAGUUCUCAUUGGAACAGGAGGAUGAUUAGACCAGAAAUUUGGGUAUAAUAAGGUAUUGAAGGAAUAAACAAAGAUAUGAUCAAA